AUUUAAGUAGUUUAAUAAAAAUAAAGAUUUGUGAUAUCUUUGAUGCUUUUAUAGUUUUAAGUU
rnacentral:tRNA from 1 species